rnacentral:rRNA from 1 species
UACAGAGGUCCCGAGCGUUGUUCGGAUUCACUGGGCGUAAAGGGUGCGUAGGCGGCCGGGUAAGUCUGGUGUGAAAGCCCUGAGCUCAACUCAGGAAUGGCACUGGAUACUCUCCGGCUCGAGGUGUGGAGGGGGGACUGGAAUUCUCGGUGUAGCAGUGAAAUGCGUAGAGAUCGAGAGGAACACCAGUGGCGAAGGCGAGUCCCUGGACACCACCUGACGCUGAGGCACGAAAGCUAGGGGAGCAAACAGG